UUCCGGUUGAUCCUGCCGGAGGCGACCGCUUUGGGAGUUCGAUUAAGCCAUGCGAGUCGUGAGUCCUAGGGACUCGGCAUACUGCUCAGUAACACGUGGAUAACCUGCCCUAUCGUCUGGAAUAACCUCGGGAAACUGAGAAUAAGGCCGGAUAGUUCACAAUGCCUGGAACGGUUUGUGAAUCAAGGUAGGAUGGGUCUGCGGCGUAUCAGGUUGUAGGGGGUGUAAAGGACCCCCUAGCCUUCGACGCGUACGGGUGUUGGGAGACAUAGCCCGGAGAUGGAUUCUGAGACACGAAUCCAGACCCUACGGGGUGCAGCAGGCGCGAAAACUUCACACUGCAGGAAACUGUGAUGAGGGAACUCCUAGUGCAUGCACUAUGUGUAUGUAGAUCCUACUCUUAACAAGUAGAGGGAAAGGGCUGGGAAAGACCGGUGCCAGCCGCCGCGGUAAUACCGGCAGCUCAAGUGGUCGUCGCUUUUAUUGGGCCUAAAACGUCCGUAGCCUGUUUGGUAAAUCUGUGGGUAAAUCAAUCCGCUCAACGGAUUGAAUUCUGCAGAGACUGCCAGACUAGGGACCGGGAGAGGUGUGGGGUACUCGAGGGGUAGGGGUAAAAUCCUGUCAUCCUUCGAGGACCACCAGUUGCGAAGGCGCCACACUGGAACGGAUCCGACGGUCAGGGACGAAGCUUAGGGGCACGAACCGGAUUAGAUACCCGGGUAGUCCUAGGUGUAAACGCUGUGAACUUGGUGUCGGGGGUCCGCAAGGGGUCCCCGGUGCCGGAGUGAAGAUGUUAAGUUCACUGCCUGGGGAGUACGGUCGCAAGGCUGAAACUUAAAGGAAUUGGCGGGGCAGCAC
rnacentral:rRNA from 1 species